rfam:Triticum aestivum genome assembly, contig: Triticum_aestivum_CS42_TGACv1_scaffold_344001_4DL
AGCUUAGUUUCCUCCGUCCGGAAUUACUUGUCGCGGAAAUGGAUGAAAAUGGAUGUAUCUAGAACUAAAAUACGUCUACAUACAUCCAUCUCUCCGAUAAAUAUUUCCGAACGGAGGGAGUACCAC